CAGUGUAUACACUACAAGAAAUUUGCCAUAUACCAACGGUUGUUUUUAGUAACACAUAUAAAUGUCUUAGGUAUAGAUAUAAUAUACCAACAACCACUAAAGAAGAAGUCCUAGGUAUAGAGAGGUAUUUAGAGAUAGGUAUUUAGUGACAAAGUUAAAUAGUUGGUAUACCCCAAAAUAAAUAAAAAAUUCAGUCCCGCCUCAAAACUCUGAGUUCCUCCUGCCAAAUACCUAAAUCCUCUUUUACAAGUUGCGCUGCUUCAACUUACCUUUCUCUCCUGCAAAACCCCUAAACGCACCGCUGCAACCUCACCGCCGCUGCAACCUUCAACGAGCAACCUAAACACACCGCCGCAACCUCACCGCCGCCGCCGCUGCAACCUAAACGCACCCGCCGCUGCAACCUUCAACGAGCAACCUAAACGCACCGCCGCCGCAACCUAAAUGCACCGCCGCAACCUCACCGUUGCCACCGCUACAAUCUUGUAUCAAGGUAUGUAGGUUUUUGCAAUUUUUCUUAAAAAUCCCCAAUUUUCUUUGCAAUUUUUCUGCAGUUUUGUGUUUUUGCUUAAAAAGCCCCAAUUUUUCUUCAAUAUAAAUGAGAAUAUUGCAAUUUUUCUUAAAAAUCCCCCAUCCUUUUCACAUAAAUAAAGACUCGUCUGUUCUUUGGGCAGCCAAUCCACUGUGAACAAGGAAAACAGAUUAUUUAAAUAAAACAAACAAUGAAUUAAAAUAUGGCAAAAUAUUAUUAUGAAUUAAAAUCAUCAUCUUUUGAUUCAAACAAAUGGAUAGCAAAUAGACAGUUGAGACAAGCAACUGCAUGAUUC
rnacentral:lncRNA from 1 species